UAAGGAAUCUUCCGCAAUGGACGCAAGUCUGACGGAGCAACGCCGCGUGAGUGAAGAAGGAUUUCGGUUCGUAAAACUCUGUUGUUAGAGAAGAACAGCGCAUAGAGUAACUGUUAUGCGUGUGACGGUAUCUAACCAGAAAGCCACGGCUAACUACGUGCCAGCAGCCGCGGUAAUACGUAGGUUGCAAGCGUUGUCCGGAUUUAUUGGGCGUAAAGCGAGCGCAGGCGGUCAAUUAAGUCUGAUGUGAAAGCCCCCGGCUCAACCGGGGAGGGUCAUUGGAAACUGGUUGACUUGAGUGCAGAAGAGGGGAGUGGAAUUCCAUGUGUAGCGGUGAAAUGCGUAGAUAUAUGGAGGAACACCAGUGGCGAAGGCGACUCUCUGGUCUGUAACUGACGCUGAGGCUCGAAAGCGUGGGUAGCAAACAGG
rnacentral:rRNA from 1 species